GUCUUCGUGGCUCAGUUGGUUAGAGCGUUGGUCUCAUAUUAUCAUAUGAUCUGAUUAAACAUCAGAGUUAUCCAAAGGUCGUGAGUUCGAGCCUCACCGAGGACA